rnacentral:rRNA from 1 species
UACGGGGGGGGCAAGCGUUGUUCGGAAUUACUGGGCGUAAAGGGCGCGUAGGCGGCCUUAUAAGUCAUGUGUGAAAGCUCUGGGCUCAACCCAGGAAUUGCAUGUGAUACUGUAAGGCUUGAGUUCGGUAGAGGAGGGCGGAAUUCCAGGUGUAGCGGUGAAAUGCGUAGAUAUCUGGAGGAACACCCGUGGCGAAGGCGGCUCUCUGGUCCGAAACUGACGCUGAGGUGCGAAAGCUAGGGUAGCAAACAGG